rnacentral:tRNA from 2 species
GGCGGAUAUAGCUUAGAUGGUUAAAGUGCCGGACUGUGACUCUGGAAAGAUGGGUUCAAUUCCCGUUAUUCGCC